UACGGAGGAUGCGAGCGUUAUCCGGAUUUAUUGGGUUUAAAGGGUGCGUAGGCGGAAUAUCAAGUCAGCGGUAAAAAUUCGGGGCUCAACCCCGUCGUGCCGUUGAAACUGGGGAUCUAGAGUGUGCGAGAGGUAUGCGGAAUGCGUGGUGUAGCGGUGAAAUGCAUAGAUAUCACGCAGAACCCCGAUUGCGAAGGCAGCGUACCGGCGCCAGACUGACGCUGAGGCACGAAAGCGUGGGGAUCGAACAGG
rnacentral:rRNA from 1 species